AUUGAACGCUGGCGGCAGGCCUAACACAUGCAAGUCGAACGAGUGGCGGACGGGUGAGUAAUGUCUGGGAAACUUCCUGAUGGAGGGGGGUCACUACUGGAAACGGUAGCUAAUACCCCCUACCAUCGGAUGUGCCCAGGUGGGAUUAGCUGGUAGUGGGGGUAAAGGCUCACCUAGGCGACGAUCCCUAGCCGGUCUGAUAGGAUGACCGGCCACACUGGAACUGAGACACGGCCCAGACUCCUACGGGAGGCAGCAGUAGGGAAUAUGCGACAAUGGGCGAAAGUCUGACCGAGCAAUGCCGCGUGUAUGAAGAAGGUCUUCGGGUCGUAAAGCACUUUUGUCGGAGAGGCGUUACCCACACAGGAAGCACCGGCUAACUCCGUGCCAGCAGCCGCGGUAAUAC
rnacentral:rRNA from 1 species